rnacentral:rRNA from 1 species
UGGGGAAUUUUGGACAAUGGGCGAAAGCCUGAUCCAGCAAUGCCGCGUGUGUGAAGAAGGCCUUCGGGUUGUAAAGCACUUUUGUCCGGAAAGAAAUCCUUGGCUCUAAUACAGUCGGGGGAUGACGGUACCGGAAGAAUAAGCACCGGCUAACUACGUGCCAGCAGCCGCGGUAAUACGUAGGGUGCAAGCGUUAAUCGGAAUUACUGGGCGUAAAGCGUGCGCAGGCGGUUUGCUAAGACCGAUGUGAAAUCCCCGGGCUCAACCUGGGAACUGCAUUGGUGACUGGCAGGCUAGAGUAUGGCAGAGGGGGGUAGAAUUCCACGUGUAGCAGUGAAAUGCGUAGAGAUGUGGAGGAAUACCGAUGGCGAAGGCAGCCCCCUGGGCCAAUACUGACGCUCAUGCACGAAAGCGUGGGGAGCAAACAGGAUUAGAUACCCUGGUAGUCCACGCCCUAAACGAUGUCAACUAGUUGUUGGGGAUUCAUUUCCUUAGUAACGUAACUAACGCGUGAAGUUGACCGCCUGGGGAGUACGGUCGCAAGAUUAAAACUCAAAGGAAUUGACGGGGUCAUAGCUGUUUCCU